ensembl:snRNA U6 U6 spliceosomal RNA
GUGCUCACUUUGGCAACACAUAUGUGAAAACUGGAUGACACAGAGAAGAUUAGCAUGGCUCCUACACAAGGAUGACAUGCAAAUCUGUGAAAUGUUCUGUAUUUUA